GACGAACGCUGGCGGCGUGCUUAACACAUGCAAGUCGAGCGGUAAGGCCCUUCGGGUACACGAGCGGCGAACGGGUGAGUAACACGUGGGUGACCUGCCUCUAGCUCUGGGAUAAGCCUGGGAAACUGGGUCUAAUACCGGAUAUGACUCCACGGCGCAUGUUGUGGGGUGGAAAGCCUUGUGUGGCUAGAGGAUGGGCCCGCGGCCUAUCAGCUUGUUGGUGGGGUGAUGGCCACCAAGGCGACGACGGUAGCCGGCCUGAGAGGGCGACCGGCCACACUGGGACGUGAGACACGGCCCAGACUCCUACGGGAGGCAGCAGUGGGGAAUCUUGCGCAAUGGGCGAAAGCCUGACGCAGCGACGCCGCGUGAGGGAUGAC
rnacentral:rRNA from 1 species